rnacentral:rRNA from 1 species
AGGACGAACGGCUGGCGGCGUGCCUAAUACAUGCAAGUCGAACGGCUUUUCUAUGGAAGCUUGCUUCCACUGAGAAGAUAGUGGCGAACGGGUGAGUAACACGUGGGUAACCUGCCCAUAAGAGGGGGGAUAACAUCCGGAAACGGGUGCUAAUACCGCAUAGUUUUCUUGAUCGCAUGAUCGGGAAAGGAAAGACGGCCUUUGUGCUGUCGCUUAUGGAUGGACCCGCGGCGUAUUAGUUAAUUGGUGAGGUAACGGCUCACCAAGACGAUGAUACGUAGCCGACCUGAGAGGGUGAUCGGCCACAUUGGGACUGAGACACGGCCCAAACUCCUACGGGAGGCAGCAGUAGGGAAUCUUCCGCAAUGGACGAAAGUCUGACGGAGCAACGCCGCGUGAGUGAAAGAAGGUUUUCGGAUCGUAAAACUCUGUUGUCAGAGAAGAACAAGUUGGAGAGUAACUGCUCCAGCCUUGACGGUAUCUGACCAGAAAGCCACGGCUAACUACGUGCCAGCCGCGGC